AGAGCGACGGGAUCGACCGCGCGCGUCAAGACCAAGAAGUCGCGCAGCGCUAUCGACUGACGAUUCUC
rnacentral:sRNA from 1 species